ensembl:lncRNA
AUGUCUGCAGAUAAGCCCAAGGUGUACCAGGGUGUGCGUGUGAAGACCACUGUUAAGGAGUUACUGCAGAAGCACAGAGCCCUGCAGGCACAGAAAACCGCAACGAAAUCACAAGCCAUGGCUGCUCGCGAUGUCUGCUCUACGACCAUGAAUACCCACCUUGAUGUCUUUGGAAUGCAAGCUCCAGAGCCCUAUUUCCAGACACGUCCCUUUACCGAAAAUGUCAAUAUCCCGAUGGAGAAUGCUUAUGAUCAUCAACAAAUGAUGCACCUGAUGCCACAUGAGACUUUCAGCGGCAGUAAUUUCGUGUGUCCCACUUCUUCGCAGUGGUCUAAUGGAUAUAUUCCUUCUAACACGGACCUCUAUGGUACUAGCCUGGUAUCGAGAUCACCCUCUGAUACUUUCAAUCUCCCAAGUCCAGUCGACUACAACAGUUACUCUCCCCCUCAGUCCAACUCUUCAUCUUCUUCGUGCUACAGCUCUCCAACGCGGAUGGAUUUGAGCUCUAGUUUCUCUCCAGAAAAUUACCACUAUCAGCAUUGCAACCUACAGAAUUGCUUUUGUCUUUCGCAUUGGUCCAAUCUGCAGGAAGGCAUGGCAACCUCGGAGUUUGCGCCCUACGGCUCUUCAGACUGUUUGUAUUCAUAUGGCGACGACAGUUAUUUCAGAAGGGAUACUUCAAACUCAGAGAUGUGUUUCUUAUAAAAUGCAUUUUGAAGCUCUUUGCGCGAAAAUUCAGUGUCAUAAUUGAUUUAUUUGAAUGCAUUUGUUGUAUUUUAGAUUAGAUAAAAGAACAAGCAGUGAUAGAAUGCAUGAUUUACAAAUUAUUCAUUUAUCUUUUCUACAAUAAACAUAUUUUUUUCGUAAUUAUACUGGCA